CUGGAGUUGGACCGGUGCCAAUAAAGGUCCGUGCUGAGCCUGGAUGUUACAAUUGGCGACGAGGUGAAUAUCGUGCUAUGGAAGAUGGCUGAAGGCUUCAGUUUAGCCCCAUUUGAUUUACGCGAAGAUGUGUGGGAAGAGUGGUUCGAGAGAUUUGAGUUUUACUUGGAUGCAAGAAAUGUGACUGACAGUGGCAAGAAGAAGUCCUACCUGCUUUCACAAUGCGAAGCGGCUUCCAGGGACGCCAGGAUCAUCGGAGGACAGGAGAGCACCGUCAACGAGAUCUCUGUGCCGGGUCGGGACGUGACGCCGGGUGGGAUCAAUGAAGUGCACGCCGGCCAACGCAGUCGCGAACCUACACUGGAGCCAAGAUUCCGGUCGUGGGUGAGUUCAUCGCGGACGUGAAGUACAACAACCAGGCGAGAUGGCUUCCACUGGUGGUGGUUGGAGGAGAUGGACCAAACCUCCUCGGGCGCGACUGGCUUGGGAACCUGAAGCUGGACUGGUUCAACAUCUUCUCGGUGAGUGGAAGUGAUGCUGUCACGGCUCUGAAAGAGAAAUACGCUGAAGUGUUCAGGCCAGGCCUGGGUGAGCUCAAGGGGGUGAAAGUUAAACUAGACAUUGACAGUAGUGUGGCUCCCAAGUUUUACAAACCGAGGCCGCUACCUUUUGCAUUGAAGAAAAGGGUCGAUGAGCAGCUAAAGCGAGAGAUUGACAUGGGUGUGCUUGAACCAGUUGGACAUGCAGCUUGGGGUGCUCCGAU